rnacentral:lncRNA from 1 species
UCGUUGGGGUGUUGAUUGUUGAGGCACCUAGCAGCGUUUUCAACUUAUGUGGCAAAAGUGCUUUCUGUUGGAAGCGUUUUCCUGCACAUAUGUUGAAAACGCUUCCACGUGAACGCGUUUUCUACUUUUCACCUAAAAACGCUGUUAGGUGAAAGCAUUUUUAUAAAAUCGGUCUAUUCCCAUCAUUUUUCGAGAAAAUGGCUUAAACACAUUUUUUUUAAUUUCCAGUGUUU